rnacentral:pre_miRNA from 1 species
AGUGGUACUGCUAGAUCAUAUGGUACUUCUAUUUCUAGUUUUUUGAGGAACUUCCAUACUGUUUUCCAUAAUUGCUAUACUAAUUUACAUUCCCACCAGCAGU